rnacentral:rRNA from 1 species
GAUGAACGCUGGCGGCGUGCCUAAUACAUGCAAGUCGAGCGAACAGAUGAGGAGCUUGCUCCUCUGACGUUAGCGGCGGAAGGGUGAGUAACACGUGGAUAACCUACCUAUAAGACUGGGAUAACUUCGGGAAACCGGAGCUAAUACCGCAUAAUAUAUUGAACCGCAUGGUUCAAUAGUGAAAGACGGUUUUGCUGACACCUAUAGACAGACACGGGCCACAUUAGCUGGUUGGGAAGGUAAGGGCUUACCAAGGCAACGAUGCGUAGCCGACCUGAGAGGGAGAUCCGCCACAGUGAAACAGAGACGGGCUCCAGACUCAGCGGGAGGAGCCAGAAGGGAAUCUUCCGGAAUGGGCGAAAGCCUAACGGAACAACGCCGCGUGAGUGAUAAAGUUCUUCGAAUCUUAAAACUCUGUGAUUAGGGAAGAACAAAUGUGUAAGUAAAUGUGCACGUCGUGACGGUACCUAAUCAGAAAGCCACGGCUAACUACGUG